CUCCUUCAAGCAAACAAUUCAGCAGCAACCUACCUCCAUUCAUUCUUUACUCACCUGUAUUUGUUAAAGUAGCAACCUUAUUUCAGUUCAUCUCAUACAAAUCAACAACAACAGCCAUCAACAACAAACAAUUACAGGUCAAGCGCGAGAGUAAGAACUACACAAGGAGUUAGAGUACCUUAGCAAAACUUUGCUAUCAGGUUGAGCUGUGAUGGGCGAUGAAGUGUUGUUGCUGAGUAGAGCUUUUGUCGAACUUAAAGUAGGCUCAGAAAGGAUACAUGUCUUCAUACAUGUAUCUCAGUUAUGCAUUCCGCUGUAAACACUGAUUAUUUUAGUUACACCUUCCGUUGCAAACUCUGAUAAUGUUUUAGCCAAGCCCCUAACGAUGUCUUUUUCCUUUUUAAGGAAUAUUUCACGCGUAUUCAAGCUCUUUGAGUAUUCUUUUAUGCACCCCUUUCUAAACCCGCUUCUUAAUUUCCCUUCCC